UACGUAGGGUGCGAGCGUUGCCCGGAUUUAUUGGGCGUAAAGAGCUCGUAGGCGGCUUGGCAAGUCGGGUGUGAAACCUCCAGGCUCAACCUGGAGACGCCACUCGAUACUGCCAUGGCUAGAGUCCGGUAGGGGACCACGGAAUUCCUGGUGUAGCGGUGAAAUGCGCAGAUAUCAGGAGGAACACCGGUGGCGAAGGCGGUGGUCUGGGCCGGCACUGACGCUGAGGAGCGAAAGCGUGGGUAGCAAACAGG
rnacentral:rRNA from 1 species